AGGCUUGACAUCCCCUGACCGCGUAUGAAAGUUACCGUUUUCACCCUCGGGUGACAGGGAGACAGGUGGUGCAUGGUUGUCGUCAGCUCGUGUCGUGAGAUGUUGGGUUAAGUCCCGCAACGAGCGCAACCCCUACGUUUAGUUGCUAACAGGUGAAGCUGAGCACUCUAGACGAACUGCCGUUGACAAAACGGAGGAAGGUGGGAUGACGUCAAAUCAUCAUGCCCCUUAUGUUCUGGGCUACACACGUGCUACAAUGGCCGGUACAGACGGAGGCGAAGCCGCGAGGCGGAGCAAAUCCGAAAAAGCCGGUCUCAGUUCGGAUUGCAGGCUGCAAUUCGCCUGCAUGAAGUCGGAAUCGCUAGUAAUCGCAGGUCAGCAUACUGCGGUGAAUACGUUCCCGGGCCUU
rnacentral:rRNA from 1 species